rnacentral:antisense_RNA from 1 species
GUAGGAGCCGAGCUUGCUCGCGAUGGCGGCAGCACAUUCAACAUUGAUGUGUCUGAUUAACCGCUAUCGCGAGCAAGCUCGGCUCCUAC